rnacentral:ncRNA from 1 species
UCAGCGAAACGGCAAACCCUCCGCGAGGGGGGGACGCAAAGCCACGGGACCCUUGAGGUCAGCCGGGCCACCGAA